UACAGGGGGGGCAAGCGUUGUUCGGAAUUAUUGGGCGUAAAGGGCUCGUAGGCGGUUUGUCGCGUCGGGAGUGAAAACUCAGGGCUUAACCCUGAGCCUGCUUCCGAUACGGGCAGACUAGAGGUAUGCAGGGGAGAACGGAAUUCCUGGUGUAGCGGUGAAAUGCGCAGAUAUCAGGAGGAACACCGAUGGCGAAGGCAGAUCUCUGGGCCGUAACUGACGCUGAGGAGCGAAAGCGUGGGGAGCGAACAGG
rnacentral:rRNA from 1 species